ensembl:lncRNA
GUGCAUUGUGUUUGGCCACAUUCUCUUCAUGAAGGACACUUUGUGUCCAGGGCCAGGUUCACCUUCACUGCUUAUACAGGGAGAGGCAGAGUGAGGAGCACGGGAGAGAAAGAAUAGAGAGAGGAACUUUAAAGAGAGGUGAGACAGGGAGAUUAAGAGAACGUGGGACAGCAAUUGAGAGAGACAGAUAGUGAAAGGUGACAGGGGACAGAGAGAGAGAGAGAGAGAGAGAAAGAGAGAAAGAAAGAAAGAAAGAAGUGUGUCCUUCACGCUCAUUUUGAGCACCUGUGGAGUAUAACCCUUUCUUCAAAGACAAACGUGUUGGUCAGGGGUUCACCAUGGCAACCAAGACGCUGAUGACACGGGUCCAGGAAGAGCAGUCCCACCAGAUGUCCCACAGCAUGGCGCUGGCCUCGCUGAUCAAGUAGAAAACCUUCACCUCCAGCUUCUGGAUAUCAGGACAGCCAUUACUCACCUCGUACUGGAAGAAUAUUUUUUAUUUAGUGAGUCGAACGGGAAGGAUUUUCUUCAGACACCGGACAAGGCCCAAAUACUGGUCAUUCGCAUGAAGAAGAGACAGAGAUGUCGGGGAGCCUUGUAAGGAGCCAACGGCGAGUGGGUAAUCUGCCUCUACCAUCAGUCUUAUUAAUGUGCAAUCAUUGGAUAAUAAACUGGAUGAGUCCCUGCCAACGGGACAUUAAAAACUGUAAUAUCUUGUGUUUCACAGAGUCGUGGCUGAACAACGACAUGGAUAACAUAUAGCUGGCUGGGUUUUCCAUGCAUCGUCAAGAUGGAACAGCUGCCUCCGGUAAAACAAGGGGUGGCAGUCUGUGUCUAUUUGUAAACAGCAGUCAGCAAUCUAAUAAUGAGGAAGUCUCAAGAUUUUGCUCGCCUGAGGUAGAGUAUCUCAUGAUAAGCUGUAUACCACACUAUUUACCACCAACAACCGAUGCUGGCACUAAGACUCAAGAGCUGCAUAAGCCAUAAGCAAACAAGAAAAUGCUCAUCCAGAGGCGUCGCGCUUCUAGGGGUGGGGGACUUUAAUGGAGGGAAGCUUAAAUCAGUUUUACCUAAUUUCUACCAGCAUGUUACAUGUGCAACCAGGGGGAAAAAAACUCUAGACCAGUUUUAUUCCACACACAGAGACGCGUACAAAGCUCUCCUUCGCCCUCCAUUUGGCAAAGCUGAUCAUAACUCUAUCCUCCUGAUUCAUGCUUACAAGCAAAGACUAAAGCAGGAAGUACCAGUAACUCGCUCAAUACAGAAGUGGUCAGACGACGCAGAUGCUACGCUACAGGACUGUUAUGCUAGCACAGACUGGAAUAUGUUCCGGGAUUAUUCCGAUUGCAUUGAGGAGUACACCACAUCAGUCACUGACUUCGUCAAUAUGUGCAUCGAUGACGUCUUCCCCACAGUGACCAUAUGCCCCAAGAAGAAGCCAUGGAUUACAGGCAGCAUCUGCACUGAGCUAAAGGGCAGAGCUGCCUCUUUAAAGCGGGACUCUAACCCGGACGCUUAUGAGAAAUCCUGCUAUGCCCUCCGACGAACCAUCAAACAUGCAAAGCAUUAAUACAGCACUAAGCUUGACUCGUACUACAUUGGUGCCGACGCUCGUCGGAUGUGGCAGGGCUUGCAAACUACUAUGGACUACAAAGGGAAGCACAGCCAUGAGCUGCCCAUUAACACGAGCCUACCAGACGAGCUAAACUACUUCUAUUCCC